GGCAUUUUAGAAAUAAAUUGGCAACAUGUCGCUGUGAAACUCUGCCAGUUAGUUUCAUUUAUCAAUUUGUUGAUGUCAUUGUAAAAGAAAUAGCCUCCACUUGAGAGAUGACACUUCAUCCAUAACAGAAAUGGCUCGUGUGUUCCUCGACUGCUAGAGCGUCACAUAAUAGAACAUGUCACCAGGCUGGGCUUCUGCAGCAGGUGCCUAAGAGCCUGUCGUGCUGUGGGGUCAAGUGUCUACGAAGUGAGGGACUGUCAUUCAAGAGCCAGGGAUCACACGGCAUCUUUAUGUCAUGAUCCUUCUCCGUUUCUUUUGCUUCUGAAUUUUCAAGCUCCUUAUCAGGAAGAACCAAGGAGGCUGCCCCAGCCGUUUCCCACAUCAGAGACUUCCCCGUUCUCUACAAAGAAAUGACUUCUGGCCCUGUCCAACUGGAAGGCUGCUGCAGACUUCCUGGGCGAGGGCUGCCUAGGGAAGAACCCUGAUGUGAAUGCAGCUGACAUAACAAUAACCUGGAACUCAGUUCUCCUAACAUGCUAUGAAACAAGAACCUCCAGCUGAGGAAAACUGAGAACUUGAAGGUCACACUUCAAGUUACUGAUUGGCCAACCCGGGAACAGACUCAGAAUGAUCCCCAGCCCUGAAGUGUUACCCUGCAGACACCAGCUCCUCGCAGCAGACUGUAUGUGAGUGUUUGGGAGGAACUAAAUAAAAUGUGCAGUUUUUAUUUUUUUAAAUUGCUGUGGCCUGAUAAAAAACAAUUUAAGGAUGGCGGAGUUUAGUUUGCCUCAUGGUUCAAGAGGACACAGUCUGCCAUGGAGGGGAGGCGUGGCAGCAGGAUCCUGAGGUGGUUGAUCACAGUGCAUUCACAGUCGGGAAGCAGAGAAAGACAAACGCUGGUGCUCAGCUCACUUUCUCCUUUUCCUUGAGCCCAGAACCCCCCACCCCGAAGUGGUUCUUCCCACCGAAUGAACUCAAUCUAAAAGCUCCCUCACAAGCAUGCCCCAAAGUUUAUCUCAUGCUGACUCUUCAUCCUGCCAAGUUGACAGCCAGUCUUAAACAUCACAGAGGACAGUGCCGGCUGCGGCUGCUUCUCAUCCGUGGGGUGAGUGUAAGGCUCCGUCACCUCUGUAAGGCUCUGUCACCUCUGUAGGGUUUCGUCGCCUAUGAGAUGUACCACCAGUUCAUUAGCACAAGUGCCAAGUUUAGGCAAAUUGUAAAUUUCUCAGGAAGGACUUUUUCUAUCCAACGCAUCUGUUUCUAGAAGCCUAAUGGGUCUCCUUAGGGAUGAAUGAAUCCUGGAGGGACUGAAAACUACUUUGGGGAGCCAGCCACCGGAAGGACGCAGCUACCACAUGGAUUUCAUCUCACCCAGAGCUACGGCUUCGGGAGUCUCACUCCGAGCACCCUAGCAUAGACAGUGUUUGAGACAUACUGAGGAUGGUGUCAAGCAUCGGCUCAAACCCCUGCCUGAACUCCCAAAUACUAGAACUACCCAGACAGCCUCUACCUCCUGCUGGUCAACCUGCUGGGAUCUGAAAGCCAUCCUGCCUCUAAGCUUUGCUGCUUGAAGCUGAGGACUUGGUCAAGCAUAGGUAGAAAUCUGUGGGCAUUCUGAUGAUCUCAAUGUUGCCUGAACGGCAGUGCCUCAGAAUCCCAGUAAGUACUAGGACCAGGGGUUACUCACGGCACUGUGGAAUGUUGAUUUUGCAAAGGGUACUAGUCUUGCCCCAGUUGCCUUGGAAACCUACUCGCUGAUGUCCUGAUACCUCCAAGUAUAACAAUCACAGGGGCACACUUAGGUCUGUCCUGUGUGGGAAGGGGGAGGGUAUGUUCUCGCACCUGUCUGCUUUGCCCUGGGUUUUGGCUACGAUGCUGAGAACUGAACCCAGAGCUUUUGCACAUGCUGUGUAGUUACUUUUCUGGCUACAUCCCUAGCCCAACUCCUCUUGUUUCAAAGGUAAUUUAUGUAGACACAUUAUAAAAUAACAGAUAUCCCAAUCUAUAAAUACCACAUUCUAUAUUUAGUGCAUGUUGGCAAACAUGUAUCUCGGGCUGAGCCGGGUGUGGUAGUACACACCCAUAAUUCAAGCACUUGGGAGGCUGAUGGAGGAGGACCACAAGGUCCAGGCAAGCCUGGGCUACAUAGUGAGUCCCCAUCCCAAAAGGCCAAAUAAAGGAAAGUUGACAUGUACCAUGAGCCAUACUCUACAGGUGACUAAAUGAUAAUUGGCUAUUAUCAAAUACCUUAUUUGUUUCUGUUUUGGAGCUUGGAACUAACCAAGUAGCUCAGCUGGUUCCCAGGACCCUCCUGACUCCAUCUUCCCAGCUCUGGGAUGGAGGUGCAUACCAUCACAGUCAGCUUCUCAUGCAGGUUCUGGGGAUUGAACUCAAGUCCUUGAGUUUGCAAGGCAAGCACUUUACCAGCUGAGCUAUCCCCACAGCACACCACUCAGGCAGUUCGUAGCUGCUUUCCAUUUUGACAUCAACCCAUUGAGAGCUGGAGACGCAGGGGUAUUGAGACAGCCGUGGCCUUCCCAGCGCUUCUCAGGCAUUACUAGUAAAACAGCACAUUUACUGAAAAUCAAGGGGCGAAUGCUGCUUUGAGUGAUUAAGCACCGUGUGUGUGGAUGUCACAGCGAGAUGUGGUGCUGUUGACCUGCACUGAGGUGGCCAGCACAGUGACAUCGGUCAGGAUGCAAGCAGAUGGGCUAACAACCACUUCAGGCCUUGAAGUGUGCAUAGGCAACUGCGACAAGAUCGUGCUGAGACGCCUCUUUCCUUUCUACUUCCCACCUCCAGGGUACCUGAGCCUCAGUUUCCCCUCACUGCAGCUGUUUACUGAGGCGAAUGCUCUUGUCGCUUCCUCCCCCGACACCUCAUGAUAGGAAAGAGAUGUGUUUUGG